rnacentral:rRNA from 1 species
UUGAUCCUGGCUCAGGAUGAAUGUUGGCGGCGUGCCUGAGAUAUGCAAGUCGAACGUAGCCCCGGACGCAAGUCUAGGGCAGUGGCGGACGGCUGAGUAACACAUAGGAAUCUACCCCAAAAUAAGGAAUAGCUCGUCGAAAGACGGGGUAAUACCUCAUGAUCCCGCUCAUAGCGCAAGCUUCUGAGCGGGUAAAGUACGUAACUGUACGUUUUGGGAUGUGCCUGUGGCUUAUCAGGUUGUUGGUAGGGUAACGGCCUACCAAGCCUAUGACGAGUAGCUGGUCUUAGAGGAUGGACAGCCAGAGGGGGACUGAGACACGGCCCCCACUCCUACGGGAGGCAGCAAUCAGGAAUAGUCGGCAAUGGGCGAAAGCCUGACCGCGCGACGCCGCGUGUAGGAUUAAGUUCUAACGAGCGUAAACUACUGUGGUAAGGGAAGAAGUCCCGACUUUGUCGGGAUUGACGGUACCUUACUAGAAAGGGGCCGCUAACUGCGUGCCAGAAGCGUCGGUAAUACGUGGGCCCCGAACAUUAUCCGGUUUUACUGGGUGUAAAAAGUAGUGUAGGUGUUCUGUUAAGUUUUGUUUCAAAUUCUACGGCCUAACCGUAGACAGGGGCAAAAUACUAACAGAAUAGAGUUUUCUUUAGGGAGAUUGGAACUCAGGGAGGAGUAGUGAAAUGCGUUGAUACCCUGGGGAACACCAGUGGCGAAAGCGAAUCUCUGGAAGAUAACUGACACUGAGACACGAAAGCUAGGGGAGCGAAGCAGAUUAGAGACCUGCGUAGUCCUAGCCGUAAACGCAUGCUUGCUAGCCGCAUUUUUCAGCCGCAAGGUUGAAGGGUGUAGCGUAGGUAACCCGUUAAGCAAGCCACCUGGGGAGUACGGCCGCAAGGUUGAAACUCAAAGGAAUUGGCGGGGAGGCACACAACCAGUGGAACAUGUGGUUCAAUUCGAAACGAACCGAAGAACCUCACCAGGGUUUGACAUAACGAUGAUCGCCCGCGAAAUCGGGCUUUCCGCAAGGACAUCGCUACAGGUGCUGCAUGGCUGUCGUCAGCUCGUUCCGUGAGGAGUGCCCUUAAGUGGGACAACGAGCGCAACCCCCAUCUUGUGUUAAAUCUAUCACGAGAGACUGCCCUGACUUUUAGUCGGGGAGGAAGGAGGGGCAGACGUCAAGUCAGCAUGGUCCUUAUACCCUGGGCUACACACAUGUUACAAUGGGAAGUAACAACGGGCAUUGCCAGACGGUAACGUCGAGCAAAUCCCUUAAAUCUUCCCUCAGUGGGGAUUGAGGUCUGCAACCCGACCUCAUGAACGCGGAAUUGGUAGUAAUCGCAGGUCAGCUACACUGCGGUGAAUACGUUCUUGCCUCUUGCACACACCGCCCGUCAAGCCAACAAAGUCGGGGACACUUGAAUUUCGCAUUUAUGCGGAAGAGGGUAUCGCCGGCGAUGGGGGUUAAG